AGAAAGUCCCUGUAAAACAGAACAAAAAGCAAUGAUCAGAGAAAUAGGAGGAGAAUCAUAAGAGAUGUCAAAGAAGCAGAGAAUUUGGAAAGGUCUGGAUAAGAAACAGUCUCAAAUGAAAAGCCCAGUUAGAAUAACACUGGGAGUGUCCAGUGUCUUUGACAAUUUGGAGGUGAUGCUUUUGAAAGCAGUUUGAGUUGAGUGGUAAGGUCAGAAGCCAGGCAGCAGUGAGUUUAGAAGUGAGGAAGUAAAGACUCCAAGUAUUUAUCAUUACAAAAUAGGUGUUAUUUUCAAGACGCUUGGCUGAGAAGUAAAGGAGAGGUCAAGAGAGCCUUGCUCCUCGAUAGGAGGUGAGGGAGGAAGCAGAAGAAGUUCAUGCUGGUGGCCUCGGUUUUCAUGAUGAAAUAGGCUAGGCCAUGUGCUGACAGAGUGACUUAAGAAGAAGAGUGAAGGCUUGGUGUGAGCACCAGGCAGAAUGGGAGAGGAGACGCCAGCCAAGGAAACGAUAUAAGGAGGUGGUGGUAGAAGUGGAGAAUGUAUUCAGACCAUCAUACAUCAUUUUAUGGAAGAAAAAGCCUGACACUUUCAUUGGCAAAUAAAUCCUGGAGCUCUGAGUACUGGGAAGGACCUAAGAGGUCAGCUCAUCCAUCUUCACAUCUCUGGGCAGCUCUGCACUGAAAAUCCAUCCCCUAAAUGCAGCUGUCUAGUGGUUUCCCUCACUAUUCUCUAAGGAAGCUACCUUCCUGACCUUCUUUGAUAAGCCAUUUUAGUAUCUUAGUAGAAAGCAUGAAAUUGUUACUAAAGCACCUGCAGUGCAGUAGGGUUACGAAAUUGGAGCACAAAUGGAGUUAGGAGGCUGGACUCUGAGACCAGAACAACCUGGGUUUGAAUUCUGAAUUGAACACCAACUAACUGGGUGACCUUGUGCAAGUUAACCUCUUAAAAAAAUGAAAUAAUAAAAAAGACAGUCCUGAAGAUGUUAUAUGCACAUAUAUACACAUAUAUAAUAUAUGUAAAUGAUAAAUAUAUACUCAAUAAAUACAGACGUACAAAUAUAUACUCGACAAAUGUCUCUUCUCUUCUUCCUUUCUUCUAUUCCUC
rnacentral:lncRNA from 10 species